rnacentral:rRNA from 1 species
UACAGAGGUGGCAAGCGUUGUUCGGAAUUACUGGGCGUAAAGGGCGCGUAGGCGGACCUGCAAGUCGGGGGUGAAAGCCCGAGGCUCAACCUCGGAACUGCCUUCGAUACUGCGGGUCUCGAGUCCGGGAGAGGUGAGUGGAAUUCCUAGUGUAGAGGUGAAAUUCGUAGAUAUUAGGAAGAACACCAGUGGCGAAGGCGGCUUACUGGCCCGGUACUGACGCUGAGGCGCGAAAGCGUGGGGAGCAAACAGG